UCGAGUGACAUGGUAAUAGCAGUAAAACAUCACUGUCAAGGGCACAAUAAAAUUUACUGCAAUAACUGUCAUCGUGAAAGAAACAAAAAAUCUGAAAAUAAGAAAAGGGAAUCAUUAAAUCUCUAUUUGUUUCAUGUGCUGAAUAAGGAAAAGGAAACAGGACAAUUACUAAAAAUAAUACUGGCACUGCUCAACAGUCACUAUAUUAUUAAAUUCUACUCCUGAGAUGCCAAUACCCAAUGGGUGCUCUCUACCCACUCUGCUGCCCCAGGAGACAGAGGACAGAAGAGGAUAAGAAAAUGGAAGAAAAAGCUGAAGGAAGUUGCUCAUUGUUGCAAAGAUACUAAAAGAUGAAAUUCAAAGCUCAAGAGUUUCCCAAUACAGCAUUCUGGGAAUGAGCUGAAUUUUCAAACUGUCCUCAGUGACAAUAAUCUGCUACCUCUUUUUGCAACUUUUUCUUUCUAAGACCUUUCCAUCCUAACUAGAUUCCACCACCAAGACAAGACUAUGAAUAGUAUGUAUGAGAAUAGUAAAUGGCAUAUAUAUUUUUGCCAUGGUACACAUUCUUCACCAAUAAAAACGUAAUAACGAAAUAUAUGAUCAUAAAAGAAUUAUUUUCUAGAAAACUUUUCUCAGUCCCACUUCACUACUGUUACACGAGAUACAAAAUAACUUGUGGCAUUAACCAUCAUUAACAAUGCCUUCAUUUAUCCUUUCACCUACUUUCUCUUUGCUACACAUCGACGAAAUAGGGCAAGUAUUAUUAUCCCUAUUUACAUGAGCACCCCAACUGAGACAAAAUAACUGACUUGUUGGUCAACAAUAUGGAACCUGAAACAUCUCUGAAUCCAUGCUUUUCCUCAUGCCUUAAGCUGAAAACCCCUUUUCUUCACCCAUUCAAAAGCAAAAUAAUGGUUAAUGGAGUAAACAUCCAUACCUGCUGUGAUCAAGUAAGCUGCAACAAUAUUGUGUUCAGUCUGUGAAAAGACGGAGCCAUCUUCAUUUUUAGAGUCUGUACUGUUGUCUAAAUUAUUCCUUAGCAUUUUGGAGGAAGAAAUUGAGACAGCCUUCAUAAUGAGCCUUCAAUAAUUAUGAAAUGUUUUAAGAACCAAUGAAGGAAGAAUUUUCAGAACCAAUCAGUUCCACUCAAAGACCUCAAAGAAGGGCCUUUUCAUAGACGCCCUCUUAACAAAUUUAAUUGGGCUGGAGAAGAAAGGAUUUUAAAUCCCAGAACAAGGAAAAAGCUUAUUAGCAAAAUAAAGAGAAAUACCAAGCACCACACAUUUUAAACACUUUGGGCAUCAGUCUUGUAUCUAAGGAGAUUAUUAAACAUUAAAACAAUAAACAAACUCAAAA